rnacentral:lncRNA from 1 species
AUGCAUUCUUCUUAACACUUCUAUUAGGCAGGUCAUAUUACCAUCUGUUUCCCAGUUGAGGAAACUGUGGCUUAGGGAGGUUAAGUACUUUGCCCAAGUUCACAGAGCUGGGACUCACAUGAUUCCAAGUCUUUUCCUAACUAUUAAGAUAUAAUGCUUCAAAAUGCCUAAAAAGUAAGAGGAAAUGCAUGACAGUAUCCAAUCGUCACCUCUUUACAAGCUUUCUAAUCAUGACAUUUUAUUUGAUACAACCAAAUUUGCUCCUUCAAAUUGCUGUUUGUUUUCCCAUUCUAGCAAAAAUUAAUUUUAAAUAUGUCUAGAUUAUCUCCCACCUCAUCUAGCUGCCCAGCCUCACCUCCUUUAUGGUAUACAAUAUCAUUGUAUCCCUCCCUUAUAUCACCUUUAAAUCUUUCACUCAAACCCCAACUCUCCCCAAAAUCCCUUUCUUUUCCAAAACCAGGGAUGGGGAGUUGUCAGGAUAAAAACUGGAACCCUAUUUCUCUUUUCCUUUUCUUGCCAAAUUUUGGGGGCUGCUUUUUAUUCUUUAUACUGUGACUCCAUUUCCUCCCCACUCACAAACACCUAAUCCCCUACAGUCGGGCUUCCACAACAUUCCUGAAACUCCGAGGUCAUCAGUGCCCUGCUCAUGAAAUCCAAAAGGCAUUUUCUCAGUCAUCAAUUUUUACUCUUCUGCAACAUAUGUCACUGUUGAUUAGCUUUAUAUUCCACUAAGUUAUUUUUCCUUGGCUUCCAAGACAUUACCAGAUUCUGCCCCGCCUGACCGUUUUCCACCACUCUUCCACAACCUUUGUAACCUCCUCCUGCUGCUCCCUUACUGUGGGUCUCAUCUCUCCCUGUGCCACACACACAGGGUCCCCUCAAAUAUUUGUGGAAUAAAUGAACAAGCUCACAUCCUUCUGGUCUUCCUCUCUCCACCAGAUACUCCUCCAAUAUUAUGGAUUCCACUACCAUCUCUAUGCAGAUGAUUAACAAAAAUGUGUAUCCACAAAGUCUACAGCUGCCCUUGGUUUCUCCUGCCCUGAUCUCCAAGCCAAACCUCAGAUCCCCACCUCCAACUUCUACUGACCACUUUCUGUUGGCUUUUCCACCAUCUUUUUAAACUGAACUUAUCCAAAAUCAAUCUCAUCAAUCUUUUCUGUAGUCUCUCUUUCCCAGAUUGGGAAUUGUGGGUUUUUGUUUUUUGUUUUUUGUUUUUCGGAGUCUCGCUCUGUCACCCAGGCUGGAGUGCAGUGGCGCGAACUCAGCUCACUGCAAGCUCUGCCUCCCGGGUUCAUGCCAUUCUCCUGCCUCAGCCUCCAGACUAGCUGGGACUACAGGCGCCCGCCAGCAUGCCUGGCUAACUUUUUUUGUAUUUUUUAGUAGAGACGGGGUUUCACCGUGUUAGCCAGGAUGGUCUUGAUCUCCUGAACUCAUGAUCUGCCUGCCUCAGCCUCCCAAAGUGCUGGGAUUACAGGUGUGAGCCACCGCGCCCAGCGGGGAAUUGUGUUUUUAAAAAUCACCAUUAUUUCCCCUACAAUCUAGGAUCAUAAACAUUUCUUCUUGCUUUUGACCCCAAGAGGUUUGAGGUUGCAAGGCAGGUCUAUAGAGGUUGGUGCAUUUAUUUGAAUCCGUCUGCUCUGGGAUUCAGGUGGGAGCCCCUGAGUGAACAGUGAUGCCUCUUUGUGAAGCGAGUGACCCAAGACUUAGCCUCUGUCCAGACAUGAAUCACUGGACAUGGUGUACUCCUGCAUUUUCUCUUCCCACGUAAUUCUUGAAUAAACAACUUGUAUUUUGAUAAUCCUCUAAAUUCUAUUUACAACCAUAAGGCCUUCACGAUAAGAACAAGAUUCAGAGGGAUUAAAAAAAUACUAAACAAAAUCCCAGACAAGGCCUCCAUUCUUCUCAACACCCACCUUGACCCCUAGUAAUUCUAAGUGUUCCCUAUUCUAUCUCCCUGGCCAAAAAGAGACCACAAAAAGAAAAGUCCCUAAAGGAUUUCAUUUGAGCUCCUAUUUUGUUCUCUUAGUCGUUGAGUUCAUCUUGCCUCACACAUCAUGAAGAAUAUGAAUCCACAAAAUGAAGGACACUGUGUCCUUAUUUCUGCAGGGCAAUUAUUCUCUCCAUCAAUACCUCAUUCUGCUGACUAAGUAGUUCACCUUCACUUUGUAACAAGCCCAGGCCACCGGACUUAACCACUUCUUCCUUAAAAGGGCCAGGUACCUCCCCCAUACACCCACAGGUUUUUAAGCACCCCUAAAAUAAGUUGUCUCAUGAUGUCUUCCCAGCCCUGAUGUCUAAUCAGCCCUUCUCUUUCCUGUGACUCUCCUACUCAGUUGAGGUUCUAUUGCCCUAAUUUUCAGACUUCUUCAAAGGCUUUGUCAGAGUCUCCCCACCGCCAGCCUCUACCUACUCCCAAACCAUCCUGCACAAGAUCAUCAGAUUAAUACUUUGCUUUCUGGCUCCAAAACUCUAACGGCUUCUUAUUGUCUACAGCACAAGUUGAAAAUACUCGCCUGAAUAUUUAGGACACUUCAGAAGAUACCCCAAAGGACAUUUCCUCUUCUCUAUCUGGUCUGCCUAUUUUUUAAAUGC